AUGAACGCUGGCGGCGUGCCUAAUACAUGCAAGUCGAGCGAACAGACGAGGAGCUUGCUCCUCUGACGUUAGCGGCGGACGGGUGAGUAACACGUGGAUAACCUACCUAUAAGACUGGGAUAACUUCGGGAAACCGGAGCUAAUACCGGAUAAUAUAUUGAACCGCAUGGUUCAAUAGUGAAAGACGGUUUUGCUGUCACUUAUAGAUGGAUCCGCGCCGCAUUAGCUAGUUGGUAAGGUAACGGCUUACCAAGGCAACGAUGCGUAGCCGACCUGAGAGGGUGAUCGGCCACACUGGAACUGAGACACGGUCCAGACUCCUACGGGAGGCAGCAGUAGGGAAUCUUCCGCAAUGGGCGAAAGCCUGACGGAGCAACGCCGCGUGAGUGAUGAAGGUCUUCGGAUCGUAAAAUUCUGUUAUUAGGGAAGAACAAAUGUGUAAGUAACUAUGCACGUCUUGACGGUACCUAAUCAGAAAGCCACGGCUAACUACGUG
rnacentral:rRNA from 1 species